GAACAACUGAGAGGUGCUUUGUGGGACCAAGAGCAAGUUUUCUUGUUGUCCGUGCCUUGAUGGAACUUCUCCAAGCUCCAGGCUGUGGAACCAGGGUCUGCUCACACACGCAUAAUGUAUUUAACAAAUGCUUGCUGAAGUCUUGGCCUGGAGAAGCUUACACUGCAGCGAGGAUGAAAGUGUACCUGCUACACAAUGAGCUUUCAGAAACAGAGACCUUGAAGAAUCAAGCCCCAAUGGGAAGAGGCCAAGAGCCACAGGAUUGCCUUAGGACUCCUUACCUAGUUCCCAUCAGAUUCUGACUUCUCUGAGACCCUAGGCUGGGGUUGUAGACCUCAUGACUGAGCUGGGCUUCUUGGCAGAAUGGCAGUGUCAGUAGCUCAUCCUGAGAACCGGGUCACAGGCAAUGCCAUCCACAGGCCCAACACCUGUUAGCUACAGAGUGGGCAGCACAUCUCGGUGGAC